GUAUUGUAAUUAUAAUUACAACAAAUAUUAAUUACUUAAUCCACUCAAAAGCAACAAGCAUUCAAUGACAUUAUUAUUAGAUUAUCAAUUGAUUGACCAUAAAAAGACUCAUUGGUUAAACUUGAACUUCAAUUAAUCAUUUAAAUGAUCAACCGUUGACAUUUUAAUGAACCACAAAAGCAGACUAGUCAUGACCAAAUGGUGAAUUUCCAGGUUUCUCAAAGAAAAUGAAGUUAAAUGAAAAUAUCUUUGCAUGAUGUUCAUUUUAAAUUUGGAAAAUUUCAGGUUAAAAGCUUGAACAUGAUAAAACAAUGAAGUUCAUCGGUUCUCGAUUACCCAAACUGGUUAAGGGGAUCUUUUUUGGGUUCAUUGGGUUACUCUUGAUCUGUCAAAUUGUCCAUUUAUACCAACAAUAUACUUUACAAGAAGUGAAAGUGGAAACCCUUUACCAUCGCAAUAGUCCCAUUGAGAUGCCAAAUUUGACCUUUUGCUUCAAAUUAUUGCAUGUGCUUGAUAUUAAGCUUUUGUUUGAAAAAUUUCCAGAUAUUUUAUCAAUUGUGAAAAACAUUUCAGUGACAAAUAAGGAUUACACCGGGAGGAGUUAUACUGAUAUAAUUGUUGAAAGGGAUGAAAUCCUGUUCGAUCGACUAACAACUUUACAAUUUUUCGAUACUGUUAAGCCUAUUGAGGAACUUUUCAAAUUUUGUUUAAUUCGAACUGAAAAUGUACCUUCAAUCAACUGCUCACUUAACUGGUUGAGAAGGAUUCAUUCAAAAAAUUUGUGCUUAACGCUUCGCUCAAACGCCACAUUUGACUACAAUAACAUUGUUUUUGAUGGUUACGGUAAUUCACCUUUGGCAUUUUUCUUAAUCGAUUUAACACCAUUGCCCCUAAUUAAGCAAAUUUUGGUUGCAGCUCACAUUUCAGAGGAAUUACCAUGGUUUCAUCAGAUUAGCUUUGCUGAGUUGAUAGUAAAUGAAGAUACAGAAUAUGGUUAUUCAUUAUCCUUUCACAAACAUGUUGAUAUAAACCUUCCUGGAUCCAAUCUGAAUGGUUGUAAUCAGCAGCUUUCAAACAAUUUUAAAGAUGUGCCAAGUUGUUAUGAACACUGCUUAAUGGGACAAUUUGUUGAUCGAGAACAAAAAUAUCCUCGAGAUUUCCUGAUUAAAUCUGGUGAUGAUUUCAAGUUGAUUGACAAUUACUGGGUUAGUCAAAGUUAUUACAAUUUAACUAGUAAAUUGUACAGACAGUGUAAGCAAGUUUGUGGAUUGAAAGAUUGUGUCGAGAUAAAUUAUAUAUUAAAUAAGCUAAAACCAUCCCAGAAAUCACAAAUUCCUGGUAAAAACAUCAAAAUUACAAUAUUGCCAUCUAAACUAGUGACUGUAAUCAAAUCUCGUAAACUAGUUAUAACAUUUGCCAAUUAUAUUUCAUCGGUUGGAGGCUUAAUCGGUCUAUGGUUUGGAUCGUCAUUUUAUUCACUAAUCAAGCUAUUGUUACAUUUCAGAUCAAAAUCAUUAGAGACUCGAAAAAUGUCUAAAAUUUCAAAAAAGCCCAAACGCUUAUUUCACCACCGAAAAGUGACUCCAGUUGCAACCAUAGCAUACAAACCAGUCAAUAUUGAACACAUUCCCAGAACCCAUUAUUUAUCUCGAGUUAACUUAUUGUAAGUCUUGAGAUUGAUUACCAAUUCAAUGUUCAAUUUUAAAUCAAAAAGGCUUAUUAAAGGGCAACUAAGCUAUUAGCUUACAGUGCACAUUUGUUUAACAUUUGGUUUGAGUUACUUGAUACUGUUGAUACUGUUGAUACCAAUGAUUUACCAGAAUUGACUUUGCCAGAAGAUCAGUGAUUCAUUAGUGGUUUUCAAUACAACAUGAAACUGACACAAUUUUCACCAUUCAAAGUAAUAAUUUUGGCGUAUUUACAAUGCCUUUUCUCAUCUUCAUUGCCUCAACUUGAAGAGGGUAAAUUUUUAAUCCAAAUUUCGGAUCAAUACAGUGCUCCAUUGGUGGUUUCAUUUCUUCAUGACAGAAUCACGAUCAAUAAACAGAUGCUUGAGAAGAUCGGAAAUUCCCUAACUUUGGAUCAACAAAAGAAGGACUAUUUUGAUUUGUCCGUUCAAUGCCUUGAAAUUUUGGACAGUCAUCUGAUCACUCUGCAAAAGGCCAAUUAUUUUGAUUUCAAUGGAACCUCUAAAGCAAAAUAUUUCAUUGAACUGUUUAAUGUGUACAAUGAAAUGUAUCCAGUCGAGUUGGGAUUGAACGGAAUGAUAUUCAAUGACAUGUCUAUUUCAACAUACGAUUCUUUGAAUAAAUUUUUAGCCAUCAAAUCAAAUGAUCAACUGAUCCUUGAAACUCAAAAAUUGACCCAUUCAGUGAAAAAAGAUUUGGACGCCAAACUAAGAAAUGAAACAUGUAAUCGCCUUCAGAGACUGGCGUGUAAAUUGGCUAUAAGCAAACUUGAAUCUUUGACCAACCAUUUCACCGUUAAACCAGUUGAAUUAUAUGAACCGUAUAUUUAUAAGUCAGAACCUGUGUACAAUUCCAGGGCAGACAUCGCCGAGACUCUACAUAAAAUUAAACUCAUGGCUAGACUUUUCCACACAUUGUACUCCAGCCUCGGAAGACCAGGUACUUCAACCAACGAACCUUAUAUUGAAUUUCCGAGUACAACUCCAUUAUAUUACACUUCCACAAACAUUCCCACAAAUAUUCCCAUAAGCAUUCCCAGAAAGAAUCCCACAAAGAAUUCCACAAAGAUGCCCACAAUGCCAACCAUGGGAUCAGGCUUUGUGCCAAUGUACGAUGAUGCAUAUUAAAGCCAGUACAUCGAUUUAUUGUUUGCAUGAAAAUCAAAACAAUUAAAUGAUUUUCACUAUUUUAAUCUACUAUUUAAAAUGAAUACA